rnacentral:rRNA from 1 species
UACGUAGGUGGCGAGCGUUGUCCGGAUUUACUGGGCGUAAAGAGCGCGCAGGCGGCUGGUCAAGUCCGAUGUGAAAGCUCCCGGCUUAACUGGGAAAUUGCAUCGGAAACUGAUCGGCUUGAAGGUGGGAGAGGGUAGUGGAAUUCCCGGUGUAGUGGUGAAAUGCGUAGAUAUCGGGAGGAACACCAGUGGCGAAGGCGACUACCUGGCCCACUCUUGACGCUGAGGCGCGAAAGCUAGGGGAGCGAACGGG